UACGGGGGGGAGCGAACGUUGUUCGGAAUCACUGGGCGUAAAGGGCGUGUAGGCGGCUGAAUAAGUGGGAUGUUAAAUCCCCCCGGCUCAACCGGGGGACCUGCAUCUCAUACUGUUCAGCUCGAGCACAUCAGAGGAGACUGGAAUUCCCGGUGUAGCGGUGAAAUGCGUAGAUAUUGGGGAGGAACACCAGUGGCGAAGGCGGCUCACUGGACCGGUACUGACGCUGAUGCGCGAAAGCGUGGGGAGCAAACAGG
rnacentral:rRNA from 1 species